AAAACUUAAUUUCCACAACGUUAAUCUAACACAAGGGCAUUUCAAGUAAGAUUAAAAGAAAAAGAAGGAACUCGGCAAAUAUUAACCUCGCCUGUUUACCAAAAACAUCGCCUCUUGACUCGAUAUAAGAGGUCCAGCCUGCCCAGUGACUUUGUUCAACGGCCGCGGUAUCCUAACCGUGCGAAGGUAGCGUAAUCACUUGUUCUUUAAAUGAGGACUAGUAUGAAUGGCACCACGAGGGUUACACUGUCUCCUUUUUCUAAUCAGUGAAACUAAUCUCCCCGUGAAGAAGCGGGGAUAAGCAUAUAAGACGAGAAGACCCUAUGGAGCUUUAAACUUAAUAACACUUGCCUUUUAAUAUUAAUACCCCAGAGUACCAAACACCUAUAAUGGCCUAUUGAUUAUUAGUUUUAGGUUGGGGUGACCGCGGAGCAAAAAACAACCUCCGCAUUGAAUGGGGAACACCCCCUGAGCCAUGAGCCACAACUCUCUGCACCAAUAAAUUGACACUCAUUGACCCAAUAUAUUGAUCAACG
rnacentral:rRNA from 1 species